GCUGGAGAGAUGGCUCAGCAGUUAAGAGCNNNNNNNNNNUGCUCUUCCAAAGGUCCUGAGUUCAAUUCCCAGCAACCACAUGGUGGCUCACAACCAUCUGUAAUGGGACCUGAUGCCCUCAUCUUAUCUGUCUGAAGUCAGCUACAGUGUACUCAUAUACAUAAAGUAAUAAAUAAUAAAAAAGAAAGAAUUGCUACCUUGUCACUCAAUGCACAUGGGUUUUGUGUUGUGUUUUUUGUUUUUUCUUUGGGGAACUGAGCUUUACCAUGUUCAAGGAAGUUAAUCAGGUUUUAGAACUACAUUAUUUUCUGCCUCUGUGUUCUUUGUUCUUUUGCUAUAUACACUUCUGUUUACAAGGAUGUUGCUGACCCAGUCCUCUUAGAGAAGCACUUUUGUUUGGAGUUGGGGUCUUUCUAGCACAGGCUGUAAGGAGAAAACUGGGCUCCAUUCGUCAGCUUCUCCUUUGCUCCUGCGUGCUGACGUCUGUUUGCUUUAGACAAUAAUGAGCUGAUCUAUGUUGUCUUAAUUUCUAGGAAAGUCUGAAACAGUAGUCACAGAACAUGACGUGGAAUGAAUUCAGAAAUUGAACAUGAUUGUCAGCACAUGAAAGGUGCCUCAGGGAGAGUGCAGUGUGGUCGGAAACAAGGACAGAGGCAUGGAGCACACCACUGGCAGCAUGGUGUCCCAAAGUCAGGUAUUGAUCAUGGAGCUGCCAAACGGAAGAGACAUGAGUUAUGACUGACAAGUGGUGACUGUGAGGUGCACAGGGAACAGAUGGAGCAGCUGGUGCGGUGCAUGAAAGGUCAAGUGCUGGGACUGAAGGUGUCCUGUUGCAGACAGGCCAGUGUCUCAGUGUGACCAUGAGAUUCAGCAGUCAGCCUUGCCCAGGUGUCCUCUCCAGUCUCCAGUGGACCUGGAAGUUGGAGGCAGAAGUGGGGGUGCCAGGAUCCACAUGUGUUACUGUGUGGUCCUGAGUGGAUUUGCCAUAACAAGUACAUUACUUAUGUCUGGUUUAUCAUACGAUGCUGGUCUUUAUAACUAAUCAUUAAUCUUCUACACUAUUUUCCAUAAGCUUUACCCAUGGAUGAGAGAUUUUUUAACUUUUCCUCACAUGAUAGAUCUAGACUUUGAAAUAUUGAACUAAGGGGAAAAAACCCUGGAAAGUAUGUUGAGAAGUACGCACAAUUGCUGCCCUGCCUAACUCUUCAGGUGACAAGUAGCUUUCUAAAGCUUGGAACUGUCAAAGGACUUCUGAGUAUGCUUCCAGCCACAAGUCAGUGCUGACAUCUUAACCAGUGUGUGGAGGAGGAGAGCAUUGGUUUCCACACUGAGGCAGCUCUGUGGUGGUUGUUCCUCUCAGGUACCCUCUACUGGUAAACUUUAACUAUACUGACAGACCAUAGCACAGCUAUGUCCCCAUUGUGCUGGAGUUUGUAUGAAUAGUUAGGAUGUUAAUACUACAUUUUUUUGCCUUCUUUCUCAUAGCUGAUGUCUAUGGAACUAGCUGUAUUACUUGUUUUUUGUUUUGUUUUUUAUUGUUAUAGCUCUGUUAAAUGGCCCCCCAAAUUUCCAGAUAGUAUCCCUAACUGCAACAGAAGAAUUUUAUGGAUCCUUAACUCACAAUAAGUUUGACUUUCAACAAUUUGUUGAGUGUGAAUAUUUUUACGUCUUUUUCAUGCUUCCACUUACUUGAAACUCAGUUUAUUCUUAAAAACUGUCUAGCAGAACCAGCUUAUUAAGUGUUACUUUGGUAUGCAGUGAAAUGGUCAAUUAAGCAAUAUUGAAGAAAGAUACUUUGACUGUUUUGAAAUUUAUUAUGAAUCAUAAAACAAAAAUCAUUUCAUAGUAUUUCAGAGAUAAAGUCUAAACUGUUCUUAGUCCAGUAUGUCAGUAGAAUUUAUAGUGCAAAUAAAAUUUGCUUAAUU
ensembl:lincRNA D930016D06Rik RIKEN cDNA D930016D06 gene